GUGCUUGCUUCAGCAGCACAUAUACUAAAACUGGAACGAUACAGAGAAGAUUAGCAUGACCCCUGAGCAAGGAUGACACAGAAAUUCUUGAAGCGUUCCAUAUUUUU
ensembl:snRNA U6 U6 spliceosomal RNA